CCUACGGGAGGCAGCAGUGGGGAAUAUUGGGCAAUGGGCGCAAGCCUGACCCAGCAACGCCGCGUGAAGGAAGAAGGCUUUCGGGUUGUAAACUUCUUUUCUCAGAGACGAAGCAAGUGACGGUACCUGAGGAAUAAGCCACGGCUAACUACGUGCCAGCAGCCUCGGUAAUACGUAGGUUGCAAGCUUUAUGCGGAUUUACUGGGUGUAAAGGGCGUGUAGGCGGGAAAGUAAGUCAGAUGUGAAAACCAUGGGCUCAACCGGUGGCUUGCAUUUGAAACUGUUUUUCUUGAGUACUGGUGAGGUAGACGGAAUUCCUAGUGUAGCGGUGAAAUGCGUAGAUAUUAGGAGGAACACCAGUUGCGAAGGCGGUCUGCUGGACAGCAACUGACGCUGAGGCGCGAAAGCGUGGGGAGCAAACAGGAUUAGAUACCCGAGUAGUC
rnacentral:rRNA from 1 species